AGAGCGAACGCUGGCGGCAGGCCUAACACAUGCAAGUCGAGCGCCCCGCAAGGGGAGCGGCAGACGGGAGAGUAACACGUGGGAACGUACCCUUUGGUUCGGAACAACACAGGGAAACUUGUGCUAAUACCGGAUAAGCCCUUACGGGGAAAGAUUUAUUGCCAAAGGAUCGGCCCGCGUCUGAUUAGCUUGUUGGUGAGGUAACGGCUCACCAAGGCUACGAUCAGUAGCUGGUCUGAGAGGAUGAUCAGCCUCACUGGGACUGAGGCACGGCCCAGACUCCUACGGGAGGCAGCAGUGGGGAAUAUUGGACAAUGGGCGCAAGCCUGAUCCAGCCAUGCCGCGUGGAUGAUGAAGGCCCUAGGGUUGUAAAGUCCUUUCGACGGGGAAGAUAAUGACGGUACCCGUAGAAGAAGCCCCGGCUAACUUCGUGCCAGCAGCCGC
rnacentral:rRNA from 1 species